rnacentral:rRNA from 1 species
CCUACGGGGUGCAGCAGUGGGGAAUAUUGCACAAUGGGGGAAACCCUGAUGCAGCGACGCCGCGUGAGUGAAGAAGUAUUUCGGUAUGUAAAGCUCUAUCAGCAGGGAAGAAAAGGACGGUACCUGAUUAAGAAGCCCCGGCUAACUACGUGCCAGCAGCCGCGGUAAUACGUAGGGGGCAAGGGUUAACCGGAUUGACUGGGUGGAAAGGGAGGGUAGACGGCAGCACAAGUCUGGAGUGAAAUGCCGGGGCUUAACCCCGGAACUGCUUUGGAAACUGUGCAGCUAGAGUGCAGGAGAGGUAAGUGGAAUUCCUAGUGUAGCGGUGAAAUGCGUAGAUAUUAGGAGGAACACCAGUGGCGAAGGCGGCUUACUGGACUGUAACUGACGUUGAGGCUCGAAAGCGUGGGGAGCAAACAGGAUUAGAUACCCGAGUAGUC